rnacentral:rRNA from 1 species
AUUGAACGCUGGCGGUAGGCCUAACACAUGCAAGUCGAACGCGAAAGUCCUUCGGGAUGAGUAGAGUGGCGGACGGGUGAGUAACGCGUAGGAAUCUAUCCUGUAGUGGGGGAUAACGUUUCGAAAGGAACGCUAAUACCGCAUACGCCCCACGGGGGAAAGCGGGGGAUCUUCGGACCUCGUGCUAUAGGAGGAGGCUGCGUCGGAUUAGCUAGUUGGUGGGGUAAAGGCUCACCAAGGCGACGAUCCGUAGCUGGUCGGAGAGGAUGAUCAGCCAAACCGGAACUGAGACACGGUCCGGACUCCUACGGGAGGCAGCAGUGGGGAAUAUUGCGCAAUGGGCGAAAGCCUGACGCAGCCAUACCGCGUGUGUGAAGAAGGCCUUCGGGUUGUAAAGCACUUUCAGUGGGGAGGAAAAGCUGGUGGCUAAUAUCCAUCGGCCGUGACGCUACCCACAGAAGAAGCACCGGCUAAUUCCGUGCCAGCAGCCGCCGUAACAC